rnacentral:lncRNA from 10 species
UCAGAGGAAAAGCAUUCUGGAUUUUAUAACACCAAGAUGACAUAUAUGAAGAGUAAAACCCUUACACCAAAGAUGGCAGAGAGCAUGCUCAAAAGAUGCUGGCUUCCCCCAAGCAAGACGAUUGCCUACUGCAGAAAGCUCUGAGUGGGACUGCAGGGCGGCUCAGGAGGACAGCAGGGAGAGUUUUGAAGGAGAGCCCAAAGGCUUGGCGCAAACUGAUAGGUGCAAAAUGAGCCCACAUUCCAGAGUGAGGGCUAAACCAUCUACAAGGGACACACAACUGAGAUAUUGAAGAACCCACUUUACAACCCUGAGCACAUCAAGCACUUACAGGUGUUAAAGAUUGAGAUGGAAAGUGGGGAGUAAGUGGAGAGAGACAGAACUUGAUUUCCUUGGAGAAAGAUGGAGAAAUGUUCUGAGGAAGAAGCCUGCCCUUCACAUGAAAACAAGUGAUUGGGGCUUUCAGGAACCACUUGGCGACCAUAAUAGAAAUAAGCGACUGGAGCUGGACCCACGCCUGCAAAGGGUGUCUAUUCUGCCUUCUGAAGACAAAAUCUCCUUAAGGAAGUAGAGCCCUCACUAAAUCUCCCAUGAUACGCCCUGAGCUUCUAAAGGGAGUGAUCUUAACACUGGCAUAUUUAUUCUCUGACUCUAAGUAAAAGAGGGACUCCAGCAGCAGUGCUCCGGAGCCAGCCCAUCCUGCCUUGCAAGAACUGACAGUGAAAUUUUCCAGAACUCUGAGAGCCAGUUGUUAAAGGCAUAUGUCAUUUGAAAAUAAAUUAUAUAAACUUAAAAUUAUAUCACAUUAAAAAUAAAAGUAAUAAGUACU